UUACCUUCGGGUAAUGAGGAUGGCGGACGGGUGAGUAACGCGUAAGGAACUUGCCUCUUGGACUGGGACAACUGUUGGAAACGACAGCUAAUACCGGAUAUUAUGAGAUUCUCGCAUGAGAAACUUAUGAAAGCUAUAUGCGCCAAGAGAGAGCCUUGCGUUCCAUUAGCUAGUUGGUGGGGUAACGGCCCACCAAGGCGACGAUGGAUAGCCGGCCUGAGAGGGUGAACGGCCACAAGGGGACUGAGACACGGCCCUUACUCCUACGGGAGGCAGCAGUGGGGAAUAUUGGACAAUGGGCCACAAGCCUGAUCCAGCAAUUCUGUGUGCACGAUGAAGGUCUUCGGAUUGUAAAGUGCUUUCAGUUGGGAAGAAGAAAGUGACGGUACCAACAGAAGAAGCGACGGCUAAAUACGUGCCAGCAGCCGCGGUAAUACGUAUGUCGCAAGCGUUAUCCGGAUUUAUUGGGCGUAAAGCGCGUCUAGGCGGAAAAAUAAGUCUGAUGUUAAAAUGCGGGGCUCAACUCCGUAUUGCGUUGGAAACUGUUUUUCUAGAGUACUGGAGAGGUGGGCGGAACUACAAGUGUAGAGGUGAAAUUCGUAGAUAUUUGUAGGAAUGCCGAUGGAGAAGUCAGCUCACUG
rnacentral:rRNA from 1 species